rnacentral:piRNA from 1 species
UGUCACCUCACCAGGCACGCAGC